GAGAGUUAGUUAAUUCGGAUUAUGUAAAAAUUCGGUACGAAUAUAAUAUAUAUAAAAUUUAUUUUUUAAUUUUUAAAUUUAUUUAAAAAUUCAGUUUAAAAAACGGAUUCGGUAUAAAAUAUAAAAUAUAAGAUAUAAAAUAUAAAAUAACUUAUAUUUAAAAAUAAAAUUAUAAGUUUUUUAUUCAUAUUUGUAAUAAUUCGCGAAUAAUUCGACUGGUCCAAAAAUUCACGAAUAAUUUUUUUAUUUUUGAAAAAAUUCGUAAACGGACCGUUUAAUUCAAAUUUUUAAUAAUUUAUAAAUAAUUCACGAAUAAUUUGUGAAUUAGUAAAAUUUACUAACUAGGGUGUGGUCACGGGGGAUGACGGACAGUGACCAUUUUGGAGACGUACGCAAGACUGUACCACCCAUAUCUCUCGGCCGGAAUGACUCGCCAUAAAAUAUCUGCCAUCUAAGGCUACGCUACAUUCUAGCUAAUACUAUACAAAUCAUACCUUUUUGGUCCCCACAUGUAUUCGACAACGUUGGUGUACACUGAUCACCAUCCUAAUUAAUCUGAUAAAAAGUGUGGCCAAAUUCAGUUUUUUUUUUUUUUGUUUUUUUUAAAGAUAGAGAGCACGCUAUCCGUUUCAUUUAGAAAUAAAUUUAGUUGAAAAUAUAAAUCAACUAAGAUUCGAACUUGGGAUCUCAGGUACUAACCAUCAAAUCUUUUGCCACUUGUUCUAGAGACGGCUGGUGCCAAAUUCAGUAUUUUCAUAUGGUGUACACUAUGUAAAAAUGGUAGAAAAUUUGAAAACUUAAUUACAAAAAAAAUAAGAAUAAAAAAAAAAUGGUAGAAAAUUUGAAAAGUACUAUG
rnacentral:lncRNA from 1 species